AUGAAUGCAUAUUGUACUGCCCAGGAUUAUACUGCAAAACUCUCUGAUUUUGGAUUGGCAAAGGAUGGUCCUGUUGGUGAAGACAGUCAUGUGACCACAAGGGUAAUGGGAACAUAUGGUUAUGCAGCUCCAGAAUAUGUGUCAACAGGUAACUUUUGA
rnacentral:rRNA from 1 species